UACAGAGGUCUCAAGCGUUGUUCGGAAUCACUGGGCGUAAAGGGUGCGUAGGCGGCACGGUAAGUCAGAGGUGAAAUCCCGGAGCUCAACUUCGGAAUUGCCUCCGAUACUGCCGUGCUUGAGGACUGGAGAGGAGAUUGGAAUUCACAGUGGAGCAGUGAAAUGCGUAGAUAUUGUGAGGAACACUAGUGGCGAAGGCGAAUCUCUGGACAGUUCCUGACGGCUGAGGCACGAAGGCCAGGGGAGCAAACGGG
rnacentral:rRNA from 1 species